rnacentral:rRNA from 1 species
CCCUUAGAUGUUCUGGGCCGCACGCGUGCUACACUGAGUAAUUCAAUGGGUAAGGGAACGCUAGAGCAUUACCUAAUCUUGAAAUUUGCUCGUGAUGGGGAUCGACGGUAGCAAUUUUCCGUCGUGAACGAGGAAUACCUUGUAGGCGCAUGUCAUCAUCAUGCGCCGAAUACGUCCCUGCCCUUUGUACACACCGCCCGUCGCUCCUACCGAUUGAGUGAUCCGGUGAGGCUCUGGGACCUGGACGGAAAGAGCGUUUCGCUUGUUCUGUUUGGGAAACUUGGUCGAACCUUAUCAUUUAGAGGAAGGAGAAGUCGUAACA